rnacentral:rRNA from 1 species
AACGAACGCUGGCGGCAGGCUUAACACAUGCAAGUCGAACGCAUCCUUCGGGGUGAGUGGCAGACGGGUGAGUAACGCGUGGGAACGUGCUCUUCAGUUCGGGAUAACCCAGGGAAACUUGGGCUAAUACCGGAUACGUUCGGGAGCAGAAAGAUUUAUCGCAGAAGGACCGGCCCGCGUCUGAUUAGCUAGGUGGUGGGGUAAUGGCCCACCAAGGCGACGAUCAGUAGCUGGUCUGAGAGGAUGAUCAGCCACAUUGGGACUGAGACACGGCCCAAACUCCUACGGGAGGCAGCAGUGGGGAAUAUUGGACAAUGGGCGCAAGCCUGAUUCAGCCAUGCCGCGUGAGUGAUGAAGGCCUUAGGGUUGUAAAGCUCUUUCGUCCGGGACGAUAAUGACGGUACCGGAAGAAGAAGCCCCGGCUAACUUCGUGCCAGCCGCCGCCGUAA